GCCAACGUCGCAUAACUCGGUAUUGCGCUGGUCUUGAAAACCAGUUCCGUUAGGAAUUCCCGGUUCAAAUCCGGGCGUUGGCG
rnacentral:tRNA from 1 species